AGCUCACGUGAAUAUAUUUGCAACCGUGACGUCAUCAACAGCAACAAAAUCACAAAGAAGCUCCGCUUGAUAGUGUGUAGGUUAGUGGCAAUAGCUGAAGAUACAGUCCUAUAACUCAAGCUAUAACGUCUGAUACUGGCUGCAUAGGUGUUGUAGCAACCACCAAGCCUUAAAUAAUGCCAUGCCUCUUAUUUUUGAAAGAGGUUGCACUGUUUUUGUUACAAAAAGCUACCACCAGCCCCCCUGGAAUUUUUACUGAGACGGCGCUUAUGGAAUAACGUCUAACUCAGGCUCUGAUUCGGACUGACUGGUUUGACUGUCACUCCCUGUAUUUUGUCCGAACACCCAGUCGACGAUGUCUUCCCCUUCUCUGUCUGUCAAUCUGCCUGCCUCCACAUCUUCUUCCAGAGAUAUAAUCCAAUUGAACAAUGCUUCCCCCUUUUCUUGCAGCCACACUGUCCAGUCAAACAACCUGUCAAACACUUGCAUCCUUUAAGGAGUGAGUCGACUCGAUCACAGACAGCCUGUACGUUGGUGGCAGUAUCCCAUUUAAUGGACAAACCUGACGAGUGAAAUCAAUGUUCAAGGAGGCUGCAAGGGUACGUGCUGGCUCACUUCGCCAGUUGCUUGGACUACUCAUAUUCCCACUGACGCCAUGGCACAACUCACAUACUCCGUUGCCUGCAACACUGUCACUGACUUCCCCAAAAGAAAGCUGCCUUCUAGUUUUUCGCUUACUAGCUAGACACUAUUUUACAAAUGUUUGUAUUAAUUUUUUAUAUCAUUAUUGUGUGACACAACAAACCUGGAAUGUCUAUGAUGUGCCAUAGUCUGUGUGGUGCACUCCAUCUUGUGGGACUCCGUUGGUUUGACAUGGAAAUUGUGGUCAAGUUUUGCAAGCUCAUAAUUUUUGCUUCAAAGCUGGGUACAAGCAAAAUGUUUUUGCAAAGUAAUGCUCAAAGCUUACAAAUUUUGUUGAUACCCAUCACGUAGCUUCACUUUGUUAGCAAAAUUUUUUGUCACUUGUUCUAGAGGAGUACUAUCAUAUGACAUAGAGUGCUAUUUGAGCUCGUGGAGCCAAACUUAUAAAAGCUUAACAACUAUUCUCGUGUAUGCAUGUAGACUAGGAACAGUUCUACGUGCCUGAGCUCGUUCGUGAGUGUAUGUACAAUACUUCGUAGAAUAUAAGUGUGUGAAUAUUUAAUUACUUUUAGUAUUAGCUUCAUUUUGAUAGCGGAAGUUGAACUUCCGUUGCAAAUAAAUUUGUGUACUUACC